rfam:Fukomys damarensis contig120643, whole genome shotgun sequence.
GUCUACAGCCAUACCACCCUGAAUGCGCCCGAUCUCAUCUGAUCUCUGAAGCUAAGCAGAGUUGGGCCUGGUUAGUACUUGGAUGGGAGAAACUCAUACACGGAAAGGU